rnacentral:rRNA from 1 species
GACGAACGCUGGCGGCGUGCCUAAUACAUGCAAGUAGAACGCUGAAGGAGGAGCUUGCCUCUCUGGAUGAGUUGCGAACGGGUGAGUAACGCGUAGGUAACCUGCCUGGUAGCGGGGGAUAACUAUUGGAAACGAUAGCUAAUACCGCAUAAUAGUAGAUGUUGCAUGACAUUUGCUUAAAAGGUGCAAUUGCAUCACUACCAGAUGGACUUGCGUUGUAUUAGCUAGUUGGUGAGGUAACGGCUCAACAAGGCGACGAUACAUAGCCGACCUGAGAGGGUGAUCGGCCACACUGGGACUGAGACACGGCCCAGACUCCUACGGGAGGCAGCAGUAGGGAAUCGUCGGCAAUGGACGGAAGUCUGACCGAGCAACGCCGCGUGAGUGAAGAAGGUUUUCGGAUCGUAAAGCUCUGUUGUAAGAGAAGAACGAGUGUGAGAGUGGAAAGUUCACACUGUGACGGUAUCUUACCAGAAAGGGACGGCUAACUACGUG